GUGGAGUUGAGUUACAGCACCAAGAGCACCCUGGGCUAUAAGGGAACUAGAAUGCAGUUGUUAGCAGCAGCGAAUCUGCAUGGGUCUGCAGCAACCUCAAGUCUCCUCAGAAGAAAGAAUUUGACCAAGGGGCAUAAGGCAGAAGGAGAGACCCGGGCAAGCUUCAGAGCAAGAGUGGAAGUUUAUUAAAAAGCUUCAGAGCAGGAAUGAAAGAAAAGUACACUUGGAAGAGAGCCAAACAGGUGACUUGAGAGAUCAAGUAAAACCUCAUUAACGUAACUGCAACAAUGAAGACAUUACCUAGACGUGCUGGCUUCCUCUUUGCCUUCCUCCAUGAUGUAAGUUUCCUGAGGACUCCCCAGCCAUGCUUCCUGUACAGCCUGUGGAACUGUGAACCAAUUAAACCUUUUUUCUUUAUAAAU
rnacentral:lncRNA from 10 species